AUGGAUAACUCCUUCACCCAUUUGGGUCAUCCUCUUAUUCUUCCAGCUAAGGAUAGAGCUAGAGCUUAUAAUUUUGUGUACGAUAAAUUUAAGUCGAAGCUCUCUACUUACAAAGAUAAUAGGCUUUCACAUGCAGCUAGAUUGACCUUGAUCAAAUCUGUGUUCUCUUCAAUUCCUGUCUACUACAUGUCCAACAUUUUGUUUUCUAAGAAAUUUCUUGCUAGGCUCACAUCUAUCAUCAGGAAUUUUUGGUGGACAUGUAUUAAGGAUGACUCUACUAAAAGGGCUCUAUGUUUGAGAUCCUGGGCGGACAUAUGCACAGAUAAGAAGAUAGGAGGACUAGGAAUUAGGAAUCUACAAGCCAUCAACCAAAGUUUAAUU
rnacentral:rRNA from 1 species